AUUCCAUGAUGUGGGCACUUCCUCAAUAACUCUUUGAACCUAUCCCAAGCAUAACACACCGAUUCAUGCUUCAACUAUUGAAAAGAAAUUAUCUCAUUUUGAAACU